rnacentral:rRNA from 1 species
GAUGAACGCUGACAGAAUGCUUAACACAUGCAAGUCAACUUGAACUUCGGUUUGGGUGGCGGACGGGUGAGUCACGCGUAAAGAACUUGCCUCACAGAUAGGGACAACAUUUGGAAACGAAUGCUAAUACCUGAUAUUAUGAUUAUAUGGCAUCGUAUAAUUAUGAAAGCUAUAUGCGCUGUGAGAGAGCUUUGCGUCCCAUUAGCUAGUUGGAGAGGUAACGGCUCACCAAGGCGAUGAUGGGUAGCCGGCCUGAGAGGGUGAUCGGCCACAAGGGGACGGAGACACGGCCCUUACUCCUACGGGAGGCAGCAGUGGGGAAUAUUGGACAAUGGACCAAGAGUCUGAUCCAGCAAUUCUGUGUGCACGAUGAAGUUUUUCGGAAUGUAAAGUGCUUUCAGUUGGGAAGAAAAAAAUGACGGUACCAACAGAAGAAGUGACGGCUAAAUACGUG